ACAUGUGGAUGCAGUUGGGGUUCCUACUGCAGUGGGUGCUAGAGAUGUGGCUGGAGAUGAGGCAUUUGGGAAUGAGGUUGAGGAUGUUGUGGCAUCUGGGAAUGUUGUUGUGCAUGCGACUGUGGAUGAGAUAGGGGCAAGUGUGGGUGUUACUCCUUUCUAGCAAGAAGAUAUUUUUUGGUUGGUUGGCAUCCCAUUGGUAAAGAACUCCUUGGCUGGUUUUAACACUUCCAUAUUGUCAUAUGGAUAGGUAUGAAUUGAUAAUGUGCAUGCCUACAAAUGACAUGGGUUUUAAAGUUUGGUGGAUGGAUGGUCUUCAUCCAAGUACUUAUGCCCAUUUCAUGUUAUGCAGGAAAAUCAUAUUGAUUCGAACCAUCUAUUGCUAUGUCUGGUACUAUGAUUUGUGCCCUUUGGCACUUAGCAAACUAGAUUUCUAAGAUGUCCUCUUUUCUAAACUGAAAACACAAAUACUAGCCUAGUUCAAAAUUUAUAUGUCCUCAUGAAUGUUUCAAUGGUGGGUGUUCAUUCUCCAUUUUUAUUUUUUCCUGCUAUGUGGCUUACUUGCAUUUUGUAUCUACUUCAUCAGCUAGACAUCAUCAUGAUUAGGAACUCAAAUGGACCUUCAUCAGUAUGAUACAUUUGACAUGGAUCAUUGCUGAAAAAUGAUUGAUGGUUAUCAUACAUAUUAAUUUGACGUGGAAGCUUACCAAAAGAGAUGAGGCCUUGGUGCAAAGCAAGAGUGCCAUAGAAAAAGUUGAAUUCUUGAAGAAACGAUGACCAAGAAAAGGAGGCAGUUGAUUGAUAAACAACCCGAUGGUAGUAGUGGAGGUUAUUCAGGUGGGAUCCAUGAUCUUGAAACACAACUCAAGCUUUAUGGUACGGAUUCCAAAGAACUCAAGUGGA